UAAGGUGGUUGACAGUGGGUCGCUGGUGCACAAUAGGUCACGCACACUACGACGAAUCUAAAUACACUAUUAUUAGUUUAUUACGCGCCUUGGAUACCUCUGGCCAACACGUACCUACUAGCUCAGUGCCCACGGGACCGCGCGAACAGAACGUCGUGUGCAGGUGUGAACGUGAUAUCACUCCGCGGGUAGCAUAUUUACACUGCUGCGAAAAAGGGUCACCUGUAGAAAAGAAGGCGGAAUACCAAACGAACGAGUGGAAAAAGCAUAGGCUGCCAUUAAACAAUCUUGGAAGACUAUUUUUAUGUGGCUCUUACUUAUGUUGUAUGGUCAAAAUGUUCAUUUCAGAAAUAUUGAUCCCAUAAAAGCAUUUUGAGUAGUUAAUUAUUUAUAUACGCAUAAUAAUUAUUGUUCUAAUUUUCUUACAUUAUAAAGUUUAAGUUAGAUAACAAGAAAUAUUUAUUUUUGUUUUAUUGUAUGGCUAUUUACUAAGCUUCUAAGGCAGUAUAGUUGAAAUUCUUAGAAAUUGGAUCUUUUAGUUAGAUGAUCAGUACACCUAUGUUACUAGGUUUUGAUAUUUAGUAUUGACUAUUUUAAUAAAAAAUAAUACAUGUUCUGUUUCAUUCUUUUUCCCCUUAUCUUUCUGAUAUGAUUCUCUUUGGUCCACUGUAAACCACUGGUAUAUC